UCAAAAACAUGGCUUAUUGAAUUUAAUUUUAAGUCUAGCCUGCCCCCUGAAUUUUUAAAUGGCCGCGGUAUUUUGACCGUGCUAAGGUAGCAUAAUCAUUAGUUUCUUAAUUAGAAGCUGGCAUGAAUGGUUGGAUGAAAAAAUUUCUGUCUCUGUUUAAAUUUAUUUGAAUUUUAUUUUUUAGUAAGAAAGCUAAAAUUAUUUUAAAAGACGAGAAGACCCUAUAGAGUUUAAUAUAUGAAUAUUUUAAUAUUUAUUGGGAUAUAAAUUUUUAAUUUUAUAAUAUAUUUAAUUGGGGUGAUUGAAAAAUUAAAUUAACUUUUUCUUUAUUAUACAUUAAUUUAUGAAUAAUUGAUCCAUAUUUUAUGAUUAAAAGAUUAAAUUACCUUAGGGAUAACAGCGUAAUGUUUUCAGAGAGUUCUUAUCGAAGAAAAAGAUUGCGACCUCGAUGUUGGAUUAAAAUAAAUAAUUGGUGUAGAAGCUAAUAUUAUUAGGUCUGUUCGACCUUUAAAAUUUUACAUGAUCUGA
rnacentral:rRNA from 1 species